ACUCUACGGCGUAAAUAUUCGAAAAUCGAAACGCGAAAUCGAUACAGUGUGUAGGAGAGAGAGAGAGAUACGUUCGACUUGAAUAUCGCCAUUCAUCAGACAAGUUAACAUACAUUAAUUACGAAUAUACUUACUCGUUGGCCGAAAUAAUCUCUUCUGUUGCGUUUCCCCAACGAAUUUUAUAAUCACUUCACAUUGAUUUAUACUCCUCUGUAAACACUAUGUGAUCGCUUUGAAGUAAUUCGAUUAAAACUGUAGUAAACAUAUACAUUGCAUAGUAAACGUUCGUCGCGACACGCCAUCUGCGUAUGCCCACGUAUAACUGUCGCCAUUACGAAAUGUGUCUCGGCUCGAUAUGUUUACAUUUUGUGCGGCUUCGAAUUGCGUUUUAGUUUUGGUAUCUGUAAGUUUACAUUUUGUUCGGCUCGAUCGCGUUCGCGAGGAAAACAUUUCGUGUAUUAGUACGCAGCGAAUUGCAGUCAGGGUCGGUCACAAAGUGUAAAGUGUAAAAUUUCGGUUACGAAGUGUUCUAUGGUGCCGGUUCUAACUUGCGAUGGAAUUUAGGAGAAUGCAGUGGAGACGACCGGAAUUACGACUUUCGUGGCGAACACCUGUAAAGAGUCGGCUAUUUUAAUACAUUUUUUGUAUCUCCACAAAAGAAUGCACACGAGAAGCGAGGAAGGUACGAUAAUGGUAGACGAGUGGAGAAGUAAUGGAAGAAGACAGCGAAUGAAUCCCAGGACAUCGGAAGCUACUAAAAGAAGUCUAAAGCAAAAAGCACAAACGAGAGGACGAGGAACAAAAACAAAUCGUAAAACGACGGGAGGGAUCGAAAAAGAUGUAAACAGCGUGAAACCGCGACACUCUCGAGAAACUAUGGAAAUUCGAAGAUCGUAAGGAGUCAGCAACAGCGAAAGGUAAGUAAGGUUGAAACGUGGCGAAACGCGAGAGCUACUCGAUAUCGGUAGGGGCGGACAUAGUUAUUGCUAUGCAUAUGGUACGUCGAACAAUAAAACGGAAUAGCAGCGGCGCAAUAGGUUCGGUAGGUUGGGACGGGAUUUUAGAGUCGGUUUU